CCCCAUGAAAGCAUGAUUGGCCAGCUUUCGAUGCUUUGCCCAUUUUUCUCCCUCAAUGAACACAAGCCAUUUCCCAGGAGCUUCCCACCAACAUCUGAGGUCCUUUGAUGCCCUGUGAAUUCAUCAUAUGCUGUAUACGAAGAGGUACCCACAGGUAAUGAUAAAGGAACUUUGUUAAAGCUACGAGGAAGAAACAACAUGGGACAAGAAUUACAAGCUCCAUCAAGCCACUCUUGUUUUCUUCUCUUACCACUGAAUCCAGAUAUUUCAUUUGUAUUUAUAUUGUAAUUUCCAUAUUCAACAAAUACACUGUACUAUCAUUAAUGUUUUAAUUAGUAUUUACAUUAUAAUUUAAACAGGAAAUAAAUAAUUAAUUCAAAA